rnacentral:rRNA from 1 species
GAUGAACGCUGGCGGCGUGCCUAAUACAUGCAAGUCGAGCGAACGGACGAGAAGCUUGCUUCUCUGAUGUUAGCGGCGGACGGGUGAGUAACACGUGGAUAACCUACCUAUAAGACUGGGAUAACUUCGGGAAACCGUAGCUAAUACCGGAUAAUAUUUUGAACCGCAUGGUUCAAAAGUGAAAGACGGUCUUGCUGUCACUUAUAGAUGGAUCCGCGCUGCAUUAGCUAGUUGGUAAGGUAACGGCUUACCAAGGCAACGAUGCAUAGCCGACCUGAGAGGGUGAUCAGCAACACUGGAAGUGAGACACGGUCCAGACUCCUACGGGAGGAAGCAGUAGGGAAUCUUCCGCAAUGGGCGAAAGCCUGACGGAGCAACGCCGCGUGAGUGAUGAAGGUCUUCGGAUCGUAAAACUCUGUUAUUAGGGAAGAACAUAUGUGUAAGUAACUGUGCACAUCUUGACGGUACCUAAUCAGAAAGCCACGGCUAACUACGUG